AGCCGAUAUACUGCGUUUUGAUUCUCCCGUGGAAAGUUUUCUAGGAAACGCAGCCGCCCAAUCCUUUCACCGGUUGCGCCCGGACAUUGUCAGCUAAUCAAAAUCUGGGAGCAACGUUCUCGAAUGUGGGCAGGAUCAGUACCACCGAAUCUGACUAAAGGACGCUUUCGAGAUCCCUUGAGGACUGCCUUUUCUCAUUCAACCCUCAUCUCCUGUGGCGCUCAUUGGAGGGAUGGCAUGCUACCCGGCCAAUGAACCGUUUCAACUGGAUUUCCUAACGAGGGAGGACUACAGGUGCAAUGGUGACAGCUGUAGAAGCACCCUUAUAUCGGAAUUUUUUUAAUUUGGGACUGUGUGAUUCACGGAAAUAGAUUCUCAAAAGAUAAAAUAAGAUGACCUCAUCUAGGUAUAUUGGAUACCAGUACCAAGUCUUCAAAUAAUCUUUAAAAUAAAAUAUUGCAAACUAAAUAUAAGUAAACAAAAUAAAACACAUACAAUAACAAUAACAAUAAUAAAUGCAUAAGGUGUAAUACUUGUACUUUGCGCGGCAGUACAAGGUGUACAUCUUUUCUCAUUUCCGUUAAGGACAACCAGACUAUCUAAAAUCGUGCGUGCGAUAUCUUUGCGGUAUCUCAUUUGAAAGCCGCACGAGGCAGUGCAUAAUUAAAAACAUCCACAUACAUGGGUAGGUAUCUCUCGCGUGAGCGGACAGCAGCCAGCCAAAGAGAGAGGGAGAGAGAGAGAGAGAGAGAGAGGAGA